rnacentral:rRNA from 1 species
GUGGGGAAUAUUGGACAAUGGGCGAAAGCCUGAUCCAGCCAUGUCGCGUGUGUGAAGAAGGUCUUCGGAUUGUAAAGCACUUUAAGUUGGGAGGAAGGGCAGUAAGUUAAUACCUUGCUGUUUUGACGUUACCGACAGAAUAAGCACCGGCUAACUUCGUGCCAGCAGCCGCGGUAAUACGAAGGGUGCAAGCGUUAAUCGGAAUUACUGGGCGUAAAGCGCGCGUAGGUGGUUUUGUAAGUUGGAGGUGAAAUCCCCGGGCUCAACCUGGGAACUGCCUCCAAAACUGCAUGACUAGAGUACGGUAGAGGGUAGUGUAAUUUCCUGUGUAGCGGUGAAAUGCGUAGAUAUAGGAAGGAACACCAGUGGCGAAGGCGACUACCUGGACUGAUACUGACACUGAGGUGCGAAAGCGUGGGGAGCAAACAGGAUUAGAAACCCCAGUAGUCC